UACGAAGGGGACUAGCGUUGUUCGGAAUUACUGGGCGUAAAGCGCACGUAGGCGGUUUUGUAAGUCAGGGGUGAAAUCCCGGGGCUCAACCUCGGAACUGCCUUUGAUACUGCGAGUCUCGAGUCCGAUAGAGGUGGGUGGAAUUCCUAGUGUAGAGGUGAAAUUCGUAGAUAUUAGGAAGAACACCGGUGGCGAAGGCGGCCCACUGGAUCGGUACUGACGCUGAGGUGCGAAAGCGUGGGGAGCAAACAGG
rnacentral:rRNA from 1 species